rnacentral:lncRNA from 1 species
AUGAAAAAAUCUCUAAGUCACUGGCUGACCAGAGACCUCACAGUUUUUGGGAGAGUUAUUUUAUCUAAAGCUGAUGGUGUGUCUAAGUUAAUAUAUCCUUGUCACUCCUUGUUUAUUUCUGACAGAAAUAUUAGGAAGGCCAAUUCAAUAAUUUUUCAAUUUCUGUGGAGAAAUAAGACACAUUAUUUAAAAAGGUCCCAGUUAGUUAAAGAGUAUAUAAAUGGUGGAUUAAAAGCCUUAGAUUUUGAAGCCUUGAUAGGCUCAUUUAGAAUCAAGUGGUUAAAAACUUUUUUUGCUUAUUCCAACUCUAUGUGGUUUCACAUACCUAGGGCUAUUUUUGGAAAGCUUGGGGGUAUUGAUUUUCUACUGAGAUGUGACUUUCAGAUUAAUAAGAUUCCACUUGCUCUGUCUAAAUUUCAUAGUCAAAUACUACACUUUUGGAAAAUGAUUUUCACACAUAAUUUUACUCCACACAGUUCAGUUCUGUGGAACAAUAGAACAAUACUUAUAAAUAGAAAAUCAUUAUUUAAAGCUGAUUGGUUCGACAAGGGAAUUCUUUUUGUAACUGACUUGAUGGAUUGUAAAGGUAUUCUGUUGGAUUACACCAGUUUUGUUGAACGUUUUAAUUUAAACUGUACUCUCAGAGAAUUUCAAAGAAUUUGUAAAGCUAUUCCUAUAGCCUUGAUCCAACUAAUCCAGAAUACUUUGACUUACUCUGAUGUCACUCCAGUAUUGCCAAAUCUAGUAAUUGGUCAUCAUAAUUUAGUAGAUAAAAAAUUCAAUAAUAGAAUUGUUACUGAUGCUUUUAAAGCUAAAUUGUUCUAUGAUUACAAUAAAAACAAUGUGCUUGUUAACUCUUUUUAUAUGAGGGAAAAAGCCUUCUCUAAAUAUGUGAAAUGGCCAAUUCCCCCUAAAGUUAAAGAGACACAUUUCAAAAUUUGUCAUAAGAUUUAUCCAGUUUCCAAUUUUCUUCAUAAGCGAUUUAAAUUUGAUAAGGCGGGUUGUGCCUUUUGUGAUUUUACUGAUGAAUCUUUAGAACACUUAUUUUUCACUUGCUCCAUUUCAUGCCGGUUCUGGAGUGAUGUUAGAAACUGGCUGAAUUUAAAAAUGUCAAACAUCCCUGUAUUUAACAUCAACCAUAUCCUGUUUUAUGUUGAUGGUUUAGAUAAUUCAAUAUCAGACAUUUUGAAUAUUGUUUUCUUACUUGCUAAAUAUCAUAUUCAUUGUUGUAAGUGGAAAGACUCUCGCCCCUGUUUUGAACAUUUCAUGAACGAAUUUAAAAUAUUCUACUCCUCAUUGAGACUACUUAAAAAUGGUUGUGCCCUGAAAAUUUCAUCAGACAUGUCAGUGUUUCUUGUAUUGUAA